rnacentral:rRNA from 1 species
GAAUGCCCGUGCGUUGUCACGGAACAAUAAACUUAGAGAUGAGUGAUUGCUAAAAAGAAAUCAAAUAUGAUUUCAUAAAUAUAUGUUUUGAGAACAGAGGUGUAGGUGGCAUACAUGUAUUUCUUGCAAUCAAUUCGAAAGAAAUCAAACAUACUUCCCUUCCAUGUAGUUGGCUAAGGAGAAAAAUGAAGAACCGACAAACUUGAUGAUACACAUGCUCAUAGUUUCCUGUUGGUCGAGUGUUGCUCCUCUGGUUAUUUAACAUCCGAUCUUGUUGCCAACCUAUUGAAUGAGCCGAGUCAAUUUCAGAAGCUAGUUUGUUAGUGUACGAAUUAAGGAGGAACUGUAACUCAUACUUCUGUUGGUGUAGUAGCAGUAUACGCCUAGCAUGUUUUC